AUUGAACGCUGGCGGCAGGCCUAACACAUGCAAGUCGAGCGGAUGAAGGGAGCUUGCUCCUGGAUUCAGCGGCGGACGGGUGAGUAAUGCCUAGGAAUCUGCCUGGUAGUGGGGGAUAACGUCCGGAAACGGGCGCUAAUACCGCAUACGUCCUGAGGGAGAAAGUGGGGGAUCUUCGGACCUCACGCUAUCAGAUGAGCCUAGGUCGGAUUAGCUAGUUGGGGGGGUAAAGGCCUACCAAGGCGACGAUCCGUAACUGGUCUGAGAGGAUGAUCAGUCACACUGGAACUGAGACACGGUCCAGACUCCUACGGGAGGCAGCAGUGGGGAAUAUUGGACAAUGGGCGAAAGCCUGAUCCAGCCAUGCCGCGUGUGUGAAGAAGGUCUUCGGAUUGUAAAGCACUUUAAGUUGGGAGGAAGGGCAGUAAGUUAAUACCUUGCCGUUUUGACGUUACCAACAGAAUAAGCACCGGCUAACUUCGUG
rnacentral:rRNA from 1 species